rnacentral:rRNA from 1 species
UACGAAGGGGGCUAGCGUUGUUCGGAAUCACUGGGCGUAAAGGGCGCGUAGGCGGCUUGAUAAGUCGGGGGGUGAAAGCCUGUGGCUCAACCACAGAAUUGCCUUCGAUACUGUCGAGCUUGAGACCGGAAGAGGUAAGUGGAACUGCGAGUGUAGAGGUGAAAUUCGUAGAUAUUCGCAAGAACACCAGUGGCGAAGGCGGCUUACUGGUCCGGUUCUGACGCUGAGGCGCGAAAGCGUGGGGAGCAAACAGGG